rnacentral:rRNA from 1 species
UACGAGAGGCCCAAACGUUAUUCGGAUUCACUGGGCUUAAAGAGUUCGUAGGCGGUCUGGAAAGUUGGGUGUGAAAGCCCUCGGCUCAACCGAGGGACUGCGCUCAAAACUACCAGACUUGAGGGAGAUAGAGGUGAGCGGAACUGAUGGUGGAGCGGUGAAAUGCGUUGAUAUCAUCAGGAACACCGGAGGCGAAGGCGGCUCACUGGGUCUCUACUGACGCUGAGGAACGAAAGCUAGGGGAGCAAACGGG